rnacentral:rRNA from 1 species
CCUACGGGUGGCUGCAGUGGGGAAUCUUGGGCAAUGGGGGGAACCCUGACCCAGCGACGCCGCGUGAAGGAUGAAGGCCUUCGGGUUGUAAACUUUUUUGGAUGGGGACGAAGCAGUGACGGUACCCAUCGAACAAGCCACGGCUAACUACGUGCCAGCAGCCGCGGUAAUACGUAGGUGGCAAGCGUUAUCCGGAAUUACUGGGUGUAAAGGGCGUGUAGGCGGAUAGAUAAGUCGGAUGUGAAAUCCUGCGGCUCAACUGCAGAUUGUCAUAUGAAACUGUUUAUCUUGAGUGUCAGAGGGGAAAGUGGAAUUCCUAGUGGAGCGGUAAAAUGCGUAGAUAUUAGGAGGAACACCGGUGGCGAAGGCGACUUUCUGGCUGACAACUGACGCUGAGGCGCGAAAGCGUGGGGAGCAAACAGGAUUAGAUACCCCUGUAGUC